ensembl:lncRNA
GUAAAAUAACGCUUAAUCUGAAAAGUAAGCUUGCUUUGGGGACUAGUUUGCCUUACAACACCCUUCUUGUGUCUAAAAUAAAUUCCCCAAAUUUUUUUUUGAGACCAAAAGAGGGAGCUUUUAGAGGUGGACGUCUGGUUCCUAUCGCCACUACUGUGAACAAUUCUGACUCGGUACGUUUCUCAAGAGCGAAAGAUUUACGCCAAGCCACUUUGAAGGAUUUUGUUGACGCACUAACCGUUUAAUUAUGCAGAAUUUUUGAAAAAUCGGCGGAGUUCCCCUUUAACACUGAGCUGUUUUUUUUUUGGGGGGGGGGACUUUAACUGUUACGUUAAUGACGGAAAAUAUAUUUUUAAUACUAAUACGAGGCUUUAUGAUGGCCACACUUCUACCGUAAAUCACAGCACAUCUCGUAAAGCAGUAGCGCUGGUAUUAAGACAUCAGCCUUGUUAUUACAUGGUAAUUCGUGGUAUCGCCCACCCCAACAAAGGGUCUUAGGAGGGGCUUAGCGUUUCUGUCUGCAUGCUCAGUCGACCCGGAAAUAAACAAACAGCAGCGGCGGCCGGGCUGACGGAUCCCGCGUCUGAUCCCCGAGCUCCGGCGGCCUUUCCUGCUCGGCUAUGCGGCGCUGUCUGCGCUAAGGCGUGCCCGUCUCGCUCGGAUCCCAAGGCCCGGUGCGCGCAGGCAGCAGGCGCUGCUCUUUAGGGAUGGCCAGCAAGCCGUUUUCCUUCCAGACGCGCCUCACCUCGGUGAUGGAGGUGAUGGCCAGGGCGGUCGUGCGGGAGGUCUGCGAGAUGGUAGACGGCGAUUUGGCGUGUUUACGUCUGGAGCUGGCGCGAGCCCUCAACGAGAAGACGGCUCUCAGCGUGAAAAUGCACGAGCUGGAGAGCGAGGUGGAAACCCUGCGCAACACAGGCGCGCGGAGCCCGGCCAAGAAGUACCGUUCAGUUUGCAUACAGACCCUGGAAGAGCUGGACGCGCCCUCCAUCAACGGGAUAUUUGGAAAAGAGUGGUGCUCCAGUCUGUGGGAUGGGAGAGAGCCAAGAGCAGAGGAGAAGGCAACAGAAGUGGAACCUGCUGUGCCUGAUGAGGUAAGAUUUUCCUGCCAUUACCUGAACCCUGUUUGCUCAAAAUUGCAAGUCAUUUCUGAAACAAAAUCAUCCUUUCUGAGAGCCGUUAUUUUCUGAUUUGUUUUUAAAUGCAGUCUGAACUCCAUGAUCACAGUAAAACACUGGCCAUCAAAGAGGAAAAUUCAGAGAAGGAAAUUUGUUCAAGCAAUACAAGUGAGUAUGUCACGUUUAUUAUUAUUAUUAUUAUUUUAUUAUUAUUUUAUUAAUAUUUAUUAAUACAAUUU